rnacentral:rRNA from 1 species
GAUGAACGCUGGCGGCGUGCCUAAUACAUGCAAGUCGAGCGAACAGAUGAGGAGCUUGCUCCUCUGACGUUAGCGGCGGACGGGUGAGUAACACGUGGAUAACCUACCUAUAAGACUGGGAUAACUACGGGAAACCGGAGCUAAUACCGGAUAAUAUAUUGAACCGCAUGGUUCAAUAGUGAAAGACGGUUUUGCUGUCACUUAUAGAUGGAUCCGCGCCGCAUUAGCUAGUUGGUAAGGUAACGGCUUACCAAGGCAACGAUGCGUAGCCGACCUGAGAGGGUGAUCGGCCACACUGGAACUGAGACACGGUCCAGACUCCUACGGGAGGCAACAGUAGGGAAUCUUCCGCAAUGGGCGAAAGCCUGACGGAGCAACGCCGCGUGAGUGAUGAAGGUCUUCGGAUCGUAAAACUCUGUUAUUAGGGAAGAACAAAUGUGUAAGUAACUAUGCACGUCUUGACGGUACCUAAUCAGAAAGCCACGGCUAACUACGUG